rnacentral:rRNA from 1 species
CCUACGGGAGGCAGCAGUGGGGAAUAUUGGGCAAUGGGCGCAAGCCUGACCCAGCAACGCCGCGUGAAUGAAGAAGGCUUUCGGGUUGUAAACUUCUUUUGUCAGGGAAGAGUAUAAGACGGUACCUGACGAUUAAGCCCCGGCUAAAUAUGUGCCAGCAGCCGCGGUAAUACGUAGGUGGCAAGCGUUGUCCGGAUUUACUUGGUGUAAAGGGCGUGUAGCCGGGUUGACAAGUCAGAUGUGAAAUACUGCGGCUUAACCGCAGAACUGCAUUUGAAACUGUGGAUCUUGAGUGAUGGAGAGGCAGGUGGAAUUCCUAGUGUAGCGGUGAAAUGCGUAGAUAUUAGGAGGAACACCAGUGGCGAAGGCGGUCUGCUGGACAUCAACUGACGGUGAGGCGCGAAAGCGUGGGGAGCAAACAGGAUUAGAUACCCCGGUAGUC